rnacentral:ncRNA from 17 species
CUCUUAUCAAGAGAGGUGGAGGGAUAGGGCCCAGUGAAACCCGGCAACCUGUAUAUACAAGGUGCCAAUUCCUGUAGAUGUAAUUCUACAAGAUAAGAA